rnacentral:rRNA from 1 species
UACGUAGGGGGCAAGCGUUGUCCGGAUUUAUUGGGCGUAAAGCGCGCGUAGGCGGCACGGUAUGUCGUGCGUGAAAUCUCCCGGCUUAACUGGGAGGGGCCGUGCGAAACUGCCUGGCUUGAGGUCGGUAGGGGAAAGUGGAAUUCCGGGUGUAGUGGUGGAAUACGUAGAUAUCCGGAGGAACACCAGCGGCGAAGGCGGCUUUCUGGUCCGAUGCUGACGCUGAGGCGCGAAAGCGUGGGGAGCAAACGGG